GCUUUGGAGAGCGAUAUCUGUCUUCAGUGCUGUUUGAAUCAGUGAGACAUGAAGCUGAGAACAUGACCUUCGAGAUCUGAGUCUGAAUUUCAGAUUGCAAUGCAAGAUAAUACUUGAUACACUGGUUUUACAAAAUAAUUAUUCUGUUCUAUAUUUUUACUUUUGCAGCACAGGGAGAUGAUUGGUACAUAGUUUCCAAGCCUACAAUUUGUAUAUGGCUUGCAUUGAAUUCCAGCAAUAUCUUUCCCUCGUUGCAUGUAUCAAUCUUUGCAGAACUAAGAAAUAUAAAGAAGUUGGUUAAACCGUGAAAGUGUGUAGUUUCACCGUCUUCAGUAGGGACUCAUUAAUUUCUAGACAGGUUUUCUAAUAUGUGUCCACGAGCACAUAUUAAGCGACUAGCAAUGGAACAUAUAUUCACAAACUAUCGGGUUCCAAGUCCAAGAUAAGCCUAUUUUCAUGACAAAAAUAAUUGUGUGUUUUAUGAGGUGAGGUAACCAGAAAAUAGACUACAUAAGCCAGAAUGAGGUUCUUUUGCAAAUGGGGACCGAAUGAUCAUACGGGGAAAUUAGUUUUACAUGGUCUUAUGAAAAAUAAGAUUCAUUGGCUGAGCUUUCCAACCAUAAGCCCCCAAGCAACUAUUUGUUUGACUCGGCAUCAUGACAAUAAUUUGUAAACUGACCUUUCAAACCUGUAAGAGACAUUUUGUUGUCUAGUAUUCAGACGUAACGCCGAUCGCUAGAGUUAGAAAUAUAUUGUAAACUUUUUAUGAAUUUUAAGUGAUUUUAUCAUAAAUUGAGAUACGAGAAUUGAUAGAACAUGAAUAAAUGCCUUGUCUUUUUUUGCUACCUCACCACGCUUAACCGUUCUUCCUGCAUUACCAUACACAUGCUCUGCGCAAACAUGACUAUUCUUUUACCAGAAAAUUUACCUGUAAAUAUAUUGUUUGUUCGAUUUACCGCACUUCAAAUAUUAAUAUGCAAUUCACAUGUGUUAAUAGUUUUGUCAUGUAUUUUCAUAUUAUGUAUUUUCGUAAUUUAUAUUUAAGAUGAGACCAAUAUUCAAAUAUUCGACCUAUUUACGAUUCGUAUACGUAAUCUUAAAGUCAUAUUGUGUAUUAUUUGUGUAUAUAUCACAUAAAUUUAAUAAUAAAAUUCAAUUAUAAUAUAUUGGAAAAAUAAAAAUUUUAUUUAUUACUUACGGAAACAUAUAUUCAAUUUUUAUAUUUGUAUACUAUUGUAUACAAAUUUAUACAUUUAUAUGUAGAUAUUUAUUUCUUAUAUGAAAAUAUGUUUAUUUAUUUAAAAAUAUAUUUAUAUCAUAUAUUCAUAUACUUACAUGUAUAUAAAAUGAAAACUCAUAUCUGAAAUUAAAUUCAUUUUGAAUUUUUGUGUUCAUAUACUAAAAAUUAAAAUCCAAACACUAAUGUGCCAAAUUAUCAUUUUAUUUUAUAUUAUAUUUAAUUUUUUUCCAAAAUAAUUAUCAUUUUAUUUAUACUGCGGUUCUUUCUUAUAUUAUGUUCAAAUGAUUUAAAAUCUUUAACCCCACAAUCACUGGUUUCUUGCUCCCUUCCUGGUCACUCUAAACGAAUAUAUUAAUUAAGCUUUCCGGUCCAGAAAAUGUUAAAAAUAUUUGUUGGUCUGUUGUUCAUUACCUCAUGUCACCAAAACUUAGUCGAGGUUAUUUCAUAAUGUUUUAACGAUUUGUGUUGAAUAUCAUAAGAAGCAUCGCCAAGUGUCUUAUAAUCCUUGGAGCCUAGCUAUCACCGUGAUAUCUUUGCAAUUUUUAAUUCGUAACUUUUUGUUAAAAUACUCUAUUAAAAUGCAGGGAAUAAUUAUUUUAUCCACUAGCUGGACGUGGAAAUCAUUUCCACUUGUAGAUGUCGAAAUGUAAUAAUUGAAUCAACGUCUGUUGUUUUGCUGACCUUAAUUUAUACACACAUCUGUAUCAUCAUGCAUUAUUGAAUCAUCUUAUCCAGCAUCUCUUUAUGCAGAUAUAUAUUAUUAGUUUAGAAUUAGACAGCCAGAUUUAUAUCCCUUGGCCAGUCGCCUAGCCUGACUAUUUCUUUUAGAAAGAUAUACCAGGUACCAGUAGCGGAGCCAGACAAAAUAUUCAAGGGGGCACUUUUAAUUUUUCGAUUAUUCUCAAAAUAUGUUAUUUAAUUUAUUUUACAAAUUCGAACAUUAACUACUACAAACUGGAACAAAUAGACUUGGCUAAACAUCCUACCCUUCAAAUCUUAUUUAAAAACCAGCCUGCUACCACGACUGAUUUAGACAUACAAAUCCUAGAGAAGCAUGACCAUGCUGAAACUACUGCUAUAACUGAAAUACAUUGAAGCUGAGAUGACUUUAUAGAGAGAUUUAGUAAUUUAUCCGGGACACAAAUGACAAAACGUACGAGUAUUACUAAUAUGUGGGGCCCACAAAAGGAAACCUGUGGGGGCACGUGUCCCCCCAGGCCCCAGUGUGGCACCGCCACUGCCAGGUACCCACCUCAACGAUGGCAGCAAAAUCCGAAUUUUACCCAGUUAUAGUUGAGUUCACCUAAUUUAUUAUUUAUUGAGUAUCUUUAAAGUUGAGUUCACCUAAUUUAUUGAGUAUCUUUCAUAUGAACAUGCAAAAUUAAUUUCCUAGAUUUUGGAAGAUAUAGAUGUACUCCAUUAUCGUUUAAGUAUGAUUUUAACAAUAAUCAAAUUCUCAUUCAUGAUCUAAUGAUAUAUAAUGAUAAAUUUAUGUAUUUAUAUAUUUACAUGCAUUUAAAUUGAUUGUAUUUUUAAUCUUCAAAAAAUGUUUUUAAUUAUGUCAUUGUAUAUUUGAAUGUAUGUAAAUUUUCCGUUAUGAUCUUGAAAAAUAGGAACAUUAUUUUCAAAUUUGGUCCAGAGCACCCAAAUCUUUAGGGUCGGCCCUGCAAUUUAGAUAUUGUUUGUCAUUGCUGUUGUAGAUAAUCUUUUACUAAAAACGGGUGAAAGCUUAUUUAGUAAAUUUAAAAUAAUUUUUCUAAACAACAAUUUUUAGUUCAAAAAUUAUUUUUACUAAAAGCAAGUCUCCCAUAUUUUUAAACAAGCUUAAUUAAAAAUUAUGCCGGUAAACAAUUUUAUUAAUUUGCUGCUCGAGCUCUCUAUAUUUCAAUAUGCCAUUUUGUUCUCUUUUUUUUUUUUGGUUUACAAUACUUGAACUCUACGAAAUUAAUAAAUCUCGACAUCACUGGCACAUUCAUGUAUUGCGUAGCUCGCAUGUUAGAACUCGGCAACCAUCAAGAAAACACGCAAGUACAUGUUUAAUCAAAUAUGCUUCUUGCAAAAUUUGAAGAAUCGCAAUUCGCACAAAUGAGGUGUAAAUGAUCAAGGAGGUGCUGAAUUAUCGGAUCAACUCUUUUAAGUUGUGACAUAAAUCUUUGAAUGAUCUUAUUAAUUAAUGGAGCUGCACAUUGUUUUGCUUUAAAACGAGUCAAGCACAUAGUUAAUCAUAGAGUACAAGCUGGAGGUCAAACCUUUCUCUACAGUAUGUAUAUCCUCUGCACACAAGAUCUUGAAAGGAAAUCAACAUUUUUACUACUUUAAGCUUCAUAUAUUCCCUUCUAUCAAAAAAAAAAAAAAACUUUCAUAUAUUCUCUUCAUUUCGUUUAUAAUAUGUCAACUUCUGUUUAAAAAUUAUAGCCAAUCUUUUUUUAUAUUAUACUAAAUAACUAUUGACCUAUAAUUAUUGUUGUUUUGUGAUCAAUUAUAAUUGAAUUGCUUAAAUAAACAAAUGAAAAGAGCACGGCUAAUAGCUCAGUAGUUAAGAGCUUAUAUUUUGUCGUCUCAUGUCCGGACCUGGCUCACCGAGAGAUUUCUGAGAACAGAUAAGGCUAUAAGCCAUAUUGUCAAAAAAAAGAAAAAUAAACAAAUGAAAAUUUAUAAUUAAAUUUUUAUAAUUUAUAUCAUUAGAUAUUAUUUUUUCAUUUUAAUAUGCUAAUAUUAUAUAGAAUUUAGAUAUUUAUAUUAUUAAUAUAAAGAUACAAACAAAAUUAUAAAUGUUACCGAGCACAUGUCACUAUAUUCAAAAACUAUUAUUUAAAAAUGAAAAAAAUAAAUAAACUAGGCCACUAAUCCCCUGAACUUGGAAACUUGACCAUUUUUUCUGAAAUUUGAUGCAAGUAUGGGCAAAAUUUUAUAAUUUACUCUUAUAUUUUAAGUUAUCGGUUAUACACUUAUAGUCUUAUACCAUUACAUACGUUGUCUAUAAUGUACAAGAAAGUGUAGCCUAUAAAUCUCCGAUUAAUACACAACUCAACAGUCUGACAAACAACUUUCUUAGUUGCUUUUUACACAAAAUUUCUUGCAUUGCUUAUCUACCUUUUUCUUGCAAAUCAUGGCUCAGGAGAAGAUUGGUAUUGCCAAAGAUGUCACUGAAGUAAGUAUGCACAACACAAACAAUCAUAUGACCAUCUUUCUUUUUCUUGUAAUGUUCAACUAUACUUAGCUUUGUGUUCUUCAACUGAACUUGAAAUUUUGUUACACAGUUGAUUGGCAAAACCCCAUUAGUGUACCUUAACCAUGUUGUUGAUGGUUGUGUUGGCCGUGUUGCUGCCAAGUUAGAAAUGAUGGAGCCAUGCUCAAGUGUUAAAGACAGGUUUUUUACUUUGAGCAAUCUUGUUUUUUUAUUGAAAAGUUGUGAUUUUGUGUGUGUUGAUAUUGGUGGUGUGUGAAUUUGAAUAUUUAUGACUUUGGUUUUGUUUUUUGUUGUGUAGGAUUGGAUAUAGUAUGAUUACAGAUGCUGAGGCUAAGGGCCUUAUCACACCAGGAGAGGUUGGUGCUUUGCUUGAUGUUCUUGUGUAAUUGUUUAUUAUUGAUUGUUUAGAGUUUAAUUUCACAUUUUUAAGCAAUGAAUCAAAAUAUCGAUUGCUGGUAUCGCGGAUAUAGUUUCUUUGUAUUUCAAUUGGUUGUGAUUCUGUAUUUAGGUAGUGAGGGUAUAAUUGGAUCUAAUUGAUCAUGUUCCUUUUGUGUUAAAGAGCGUCCUGAUUGAGCCUACUAGUGGAAAUACUGGCAUUGGAUUAGCUUUCAUGGCGGCGGCUAAGGGAUACAAGCUUAUAAUUACUAUGCCUGCUUCAAUGAGCCUCGAGAGAAAGAUUAUUCUCCGUGCAUUUGGGGCUGAGUUGAUUUUGACAGAUCCUGCCAAGGGAAUGAAAGGUGCUAUCCAGAAGGCUGAAGAGAUAUUGGCUAAAACACCUAAUGCUUACAUUCUUCAGCAGUUUGAGAACCCUGCAAACCCAAAGGUCUGAAUUUGGUAGUUAUUUAUUUAUCCUCGAGGCUUUUGUUUUAAUUCUAAAGAGAAAUUCUAUAUUGUCGUUACAAUGUAGAUACAUUAUGAAACCACUGGACCAGAGAUCUGGAAAGGCUCUGAUGGGAAAAUAGACGCCUUUGUAUCUGGAAUUGGUACUGGGGGAACAAUAACAGGUUCCGGAAAGUUCCUUAAAGAGCAAAAACCCGCCAUCAAGGUUAGCUACGAUAUACUAAUGCCCUUGCUCUAUAUACCACUGUGUACUCAUUAGUAUUUGUUAAAGACUAAAUUCUCUUUUUUUACCCUUCCCUCAAUAUCAGCUCUAUGGCGUUGAACCCGUUGAGAGUGCUAUUCUAUCUGGAGGAAAGCCUGGUAAGAUUUGGAUGACAGAUCUAUGAUAAUAUAUUGUCACAUAACUGCAGAAUCUAUGUAGCAUCUGCUCUUUUCUGGUUUAAAGGUGUGGAAAUUCAGAAUAAAAUGAUAAUGGACUGCACAAGAUUGAUGCCCUCUGGCAAAUAUUUAAGUAAAGAACGCCAUUUUACAUGUCAAUCCUUACAAUUGUGUCUCAAGUUUAACGAGGUAGAACUGUCAACUGUUUACUUGUUGGAACAGAUAUAUUUCCUGUAAAAUUAUUUGAAGGAAAUUAUGUAGUUAGUUCACAAUCUAUAAUUUAGUUUUCCAGAAAUUAGGAUGAAGGAUAUAUAUGGCUGCAAGCCUGCAACUGCAGAUAAUUAUGAUUAAUAUUGAUCAUUAUUACUUCUCAGUACUCCAGAGCGUUAAAUUAAUUUACAGACUACUUUACAACUCUGUCUUCGUCAGGAUAAACAUCUUACUUCUCCAAAAAUGUUGUUUAGUGCUGAAUAUACCUAAUUUAUACAUCUUAUAAUGCCUAAGGUCCGCAUAAGAUCCAGGGAAUUGGAGCUGGUUUUAUUCCCGGAGUACUGGACGUUGACCUUAUUGAUGAAGUUGUUCAAGUAAGACUAUAGGAAAUUAUUGUGUUUCAUUUUGUAAAGAUUCAUUCAAUUUAUGCAUUAGUUAUCACAACAUUGCACCACUUGUCUCUGUCAAAAAAAAAAAAUAACAUUGCACCACUGUCAGGUGCUUUGAGCCUGACAGCAUAUUAAUAUCAUUCGGUAGAAACUUUUAGUAAAAACACAUACUAUUAUUCAAGAUGUGAUGUUGUUUCUGUCAUUUUCCAGGUGUCAAGUGAUGAAGCCAUAGAAACUGCAAAGCUUCUCGCUGUAAAAGAAGGAUUGCUGGUAGGUUCAACUAUUUAAGACACUCUAAAUGAAUAUCUUUCAGUACUUAUGGUUCAACCAUUUGUACUGUAAGAUGUUUUGUUCAGUUCCUCUGCCUCUGAUCAUUAAGUAUCUUUUAUAGGUGGGAAUAUCAUCCGGUGCUGCAGCUGCAGCUGCUAUUAAAAUUGCAAAGAGGCCAGAAAGUGCAGGAAAAUUGAUUGUCGUAAGUUUGUUUCUUUUUUUCUCAAUCACCAAACAACUCUUUGUAUAUGGCACCAUCCAGGGCGCCAUGAGCGUUAAUUAGUAAGAAACUUAAAAUAGCUUCUUAUACGGCUAGAGUACUUUCCUGACUUAUCUCCUCUCGACAACUUGGCAGGUAAUUUUCCCGAGCUUUGGAGAGCGAUAUCUGUCCUCAGUGCUGUUUGAAUCUGUGAGACAUGAAGCUGAGAACAUGACUUUCGAAAUUUAAGUCCACAUUUUAGAUUGCAGUGCAAGUCUGCAAGAUGAUAUGGGAUUGGCGCUUCAUGAUAUUGGAUGAAUCGGUUUCGACAAAAAUAAUUAAGAUGCGUUCUGUUUAAGGUUUUUUGUUUUGCGGCAGAGGG
rnacentral:lncRNA from 1 species